rnacentral:rRNA from 1 species
GUGGGGUAACGGCCUACCAAGGCAUCGACGGGUAGCUGGUCUGAGAGGACGAUCAGCCACACUGGGACUGAGACACGGCCCAGACUCCUACGGGAGGCAGCAGUGGGGAAUAUUGCGCAAUGGGCGAAAGCCUGACGCAGCAACGCCGCGUGAGGGAUGACGGCUUUCGGGUUGUAAACCUCUUUCAGUGAUGACGAAAAUGACGGUAAUCACAGAAGAAGGACCGGCCAACUACGUGCCAGCAGCCGCGGUAACACGUAGGGUCCAAGCGUUGUCCGGAUUUAUUGGGCGUAAAGAGCUCGUAGGCGGUUGCGUAAGUCGGAUGUGAAAACUCAGGGCUCAACCCUGAGACGCCAUCUGAUACUGCGCUGACUAGAGUCCGGUAGAGGAGCAUGGAAUUCCUGGUGUAGCGGUGAAAUGCGCAGAUAUCAGGAGGAACACCAACGGCGAAGGCAGUGCUCUGGGCCGGUACUGACACUGAGGAGCGAAAGCAUGGGGAGCGAACAGGAUUAGAUACCCUGGUAGUCCAUGCCGUAAACGUUGGGCACUAGGUGUGGGGUCUUCUUAACGGACUCCGUGCCGUAGCUAACGCAUUAAGUG